rnacentral:rRNA from 1 species
UUUAAAUGUAAUUUUAAAAACUAAAUAAUUAUAAGUUAUGAUCUUUAAAGUUAAAUAAUUUGGCGGUAUUUUAGUCUUUUCAGAGGAACCUGUUCUGUAAAUGAUAUUCCACGAUUAAAUAGUCUUAAAUUAGAAAUUUAUAUAUCAUCGUUAUUAAAUAUUUUUUUAGAAUAAAAUAUUUAUUAAAUAUAAUUAUAUUUAAAUUCAGAUCAUGGUAUAAUUUAUAUUUAAGUUGAAAUGGGUUACAAUAUUAUAUAAUUUGAAUUUUUAAUUUAAAAUUAAAAUGAAAUUGGAUUUGAAAGUAAUUGAAAUAAUUUAUUUUCAGUGAUUAAGCUCUAAAAUAUGU